rnacentral:rRNA from 1 species
CCUACGGGGUGCUGCAGUGGGGAAUAUUGCACAAUGGGGGAAACCCUGAUGCAGCAACGCCGCGUGGGUGAUGGAGCGUUUCGGCGCGUAAAGCCCUGUCAGCGGGGAAGAAGAACGACGGUACUCGACCACGAAGCCUCGGCUAACUACGUGACAGCAGCCGCGGUAAUACGUAGGGGGCGAGCGUUAACAGGAAUUACUGGGUGUAAAGGGAGCGUAGGCGGCGGGGGAAGCCUGAAGUGGAAUGGCGCGGCUCAACCGGGGACCUGAUUGGGGAACCGGUCUGCUGGAGUCUGGGUGGGGUAAGCGGAAUUCCUGGUGUAGCGGUGAAAUGCGUAGAUAUGAGGAGGAACACCGGUGGCGAAGGCAGCUUACUGGAGCAUAACUGACGUUGAGGCUCGAAAGCGUGGGGAGCGAACAGGAUUAGAUACCCUUGUAGUC